rfam:Canis lupus familiaris chromosome 10, whole genome shotgun sequence.
GUUUCCGUUUCCAAUGCCGUGGUUAACGCGCCCGAUCUCGUCUGAUCUCGGAAGCUAAGCAGGGUCAGGCCUGGUUAGUACUUGGAAGGGAGUCCAAAGCCGUGGUUGCCUCAAACC